AGGGGGGAGGCGGCUGGCGCGCCUGCGCGUUGGUGCGCGCCGCGCCGGCGGGUAUAUAAGCGCGGGGCCGGGGCGGCGGCGGGACAGCGCUUUGGUGGCCUGAGGCGGUGAGGAGGUGCCGGGCGUGCCGUGGUAACCGUAGUGCCGUGCCGUGCCGGCCGCGUGCGCGUGGGGACGAAGCCGCUGGAGCCCUUCUCUCCGUUUCGCCGCCGUCGCCCCCCUCCCCCUCGCUCGCCGCCGUCGCCAUGGUGAAGAUCGUGGGCAGCCUGUCAGAAUUUGAGACAGAACUGAAAUCUGCUGGCGAGAAGCUUGUAGUUGUUGAUUUCUCUGCUACCUGGUGUGGACCCUGCAAAAUGAUCAAACCUUUUUUCCAUAGUUUGUGUGAGAAGUUUGCUGAUGUGGUGUUCAUUGAAAUUGAUGUGGAUGAUGCUCAGGAUGUUGCUGCACACUGUGAUGUCAAGUGCAUGCCCACAUUCCAGUUCUACAAGAAUGGAAAGAAGCACUGAUCCCUGACCCUUGAGGAGUGACUUGAGAAACUGACAUGCUGACAACAGGUGGAGCAGCACUGAAGGGAAACCGUAUUUAGCAGAAGCCUGGCCAUGGCAUGGAGUCUCUCUGCUCUUCAUCUGAAACAGCUGUGUACUAAAGGACACCUGUGUACCCCAGGAGAGGAAAAGCAGAGGUGGUCCAGCAUGGUACCUAGAGAGGAGGAAGAAUGCAGGGUAGCUGGGGAAAGGUAUGAAGAUCCAUUCCCACCUGCAGCUGGCAAAUUUGGGACAGAUGCAAACUUUCAUAAGGUGGAAGUAAGUAAAUGAUUGACUAUAUUAACAUAAAAAGAAGAUUCAAGCAGCUAGAUAUCCAAAUGGCAUCACUUGGCCUCUGGGAAUUGAAACAUCUGGGAUGAGCUGGGGCUGAGUGCAACGGACGUAUGGAUAGGAGGACUCCAGGGGUCAAGGCAUUCCCAAAAGUCAUCCUGCCAUCCAGCUG